rnacentral:rRNA from 1 species
UGGAGUAGUGAUAUGGUUGUGUGAAAGAWUAAGGGAUGGAUGUGUGAGUAGAAGGGGGAAUAAGGUGAAAGGGGGAAUGGGUGAUUAAAUGAGUUAUGGUUGGUUGGAUGUUAGGGAGAGUUAGAUGGAUAAGUGUGGUAAUUGUAGAGGUAAUAGAUGAAGGUGGUGGGGGGAGGAGUGAUGGAAGGGGGGGUUUUAUUAGAAGAAAAGGAAUGGGUGGGGUGGUGGGUGGGUUGGGUUGGUGAGUGUGAAUAAGUUUGGGGUGAUGGGAGGGUGGGAGGAGGGGGGAGGGAUGUUUGAAAUGUGUGGGUUAUGAAGUUUGGAUGGUAGGUUGUGGGGGUAGGAUGGUUGUAAGGGGUGAGGGGGAAUGAGGGUUGGAUUGGGGAGAGGGAGGGUGAGAAAGGGGUAGGAGAUGGAAGGAAGGGAGGAGGGGGGGAAAUUAGGGAGUGGGGGGAGGGGGAGGUAGUGAGGAAAAAUAAGGAUAGAGGGGUGUUUKGGGUGYUGUAAUUGGAAUGAGUAGAAUUUAAAUGGGUUAAGGAGGAAGAAUUGGAGGGGAAGUGUGGUGGGAGGAGGGGGGG